AGCGAGACCCGUGUUGGAGUAGAGCAGCAAGCUGUGAUUCAGAACACAGUGAAGUGCAAUUCUUUGUUCCCCGGCUGCUCCCUACACACUGCACUCGCUGUCACAGUAGCCCAAGCACAGCCACACGCAGAGCACAGAACUACGCUGCAGAGGGCAGCUACAGCCCGGGCACGCACACAAACAAACAGGAGAGGAAACUGAAGUAGGAAUACAAUCCAAAUGCUUUCUGGACAGGUGUUACCUAGCUAUCAAACAAUCCCAACUAAGAUGCCAGGUCGGUUCCUAUGAAGUACAAUAAGUAACAACUCUCUGCCCUUAGGACUUUACUUUCACAUAUUUGGGAAUCACCAACUGUGACAUAUUUACGGAAACAAAUGUAACAAGGCCCCCAAGAUAAAAAACCACUAUUUUGCCCCUUUUAAUAUCCCAGAUUUAUAAUACUGUAAUUAUUUCUGAUGCAAUUAUUUUAGUGUGCAUGCCAUUAACUCAGUGACAGAACUGCAAACACCAAAGUUUUUCCCCUUCCUGCCUUCCAGACAAGUCAGCCCUCCGAAGUCUCUUAGAUUUCUCUUGCCACAUUUAAGAUUGUGGUCAACCAAAUCCUGGGGGCAGGAGACAACAGAGUAUACCCUCAAACAUCAGUCCUCUACAGAAAGGUUCUCAAGCAGAUCAAUCACAAACUCACGAAGAAGACAUUUGUGUAGCACUGUAUAGAUUAACCUAGUUCUAUUUUAGGUUACUCCAGCCACUCCUAGCUGCGACAACAAAAUGCCUUCUCUGCAAUCACGUUUCUCACCCCCCAAAAAACAAAAAAAGAAAAAUUAAAUUAAAUUAAGCCGACUUUUGAAACACAUCCCUCCCACUCCCCUGCCCCAAAAGCCUGCAGAGCAAGCCAGAAUCUUGGCACCUCGUGCCUGGAAGGAGCCACACUGCAGCCAGCAGCCAGCCCAACACCAGCCGGGUGGCAGGGGCUGCAGCUACGCUGGCGGCCUCUCCCAUCAGCUUCCCAGGCAACUGGAAACACCGCCUGAUCCUCAGCGUGGGAAGAUCUAAGACGCGAGAUUAGCGGGGAAGGAACUACAACCAGACAACAGCGUCUGCCCUGGCUACUGCCGAGCUGAAACGCGCUCCGCUCUCCACAGCGUGUGGAUCUGGAGGUGACAUGUCAAGUGAAAGGUCUCACUGGCCAAGCAGAAGAAAGCUACAUGUCCUUCCAGCUAUCAAACACUGAUCGUUUGUGUACUGAACACCAGCCUGGGGCCGCCCUUUGUCCCACUGCACUUGGUCCUUUACAACUUGUGAGUUGCCACAGGAACUUGUGAUGAAAUCUGUAAUUUACACUUGGCCAAGUAUGACCUCCUGGUGUCAAGCCUGUAGUAGUUUAGAGGGAAAAUGUUGCUAUCAUGCCACUACACUUUAGGAGUAAAAUGACCUUUAGGAGUAAAACUUCAUUCAGUUGUAGUGCACAGGAGAGAAAGGACAUCUCAAAACAAAGGCACAAUACCCAAUAGUUUUCAAUAACAAAAAGCCAUUGUGAAGUUGUUCUGUAGCCUGGAGAAAAGUUAAUCCAAUGAUUAUGAAUGAUUUUUUCUCCCUCAUAAUACUGUGUAAGAGAAAGUGAAGAACAGUAUGUUAAUGACUAAACAGCUCUAUUGAAUCACUGUGUUGGAGAAGCUGUAGAUUUCACUGUCUUCUUUGCUUUACCACAGUUUUCCUCACUUCAUUGAGACAAAUGGAGUACAGGAAGCCAAUUGAAGAGGCAAUAUGAAUUUCUCCCAGCAAGCUACCCUGCUAGGCAUUCUCCUUGGAAGGGGGACUACAGCUGCAGAAUGGCUGCUAUUCUGUACUUCAUAGCAUGUGUGAAGUGAAGAACAACCUUAAGCAUAGUGCAGUUGAUAUCCUGAGAUUAUUAUCCAGGAUCAACCAUUGCAAGGUCAAAUGACAGCACUGGAUUGUAAUUUGCAUUUCAUGAAGAUGCAACUUUUGCUUGUACCACAAGUAGAGAAGUUCACCAGAAGUGAGAGUUAAGCACCUGUCUUGUACUGUGGAUUUCUGAGGUAGCUUUGCAUUUCUGAAAUUACAAGACAUAUUCCCAGUGGAUUUAAAUUCACUCUCCAGACACUGCUCAACAGUUACACUACUUGAUAGAUGCUGGCUAUCACAUGUAUAGUCGUCUUCCAAAAAUAGAGCAGCAAGGUGAAAACACAUACCUCUGAAUUUCAGAACCCCAGAUUCUCAGCCACAGAGAGUUAUUGGAGUGUGUAACAUUAGUACAGCAAGCAACAAACAUGGCACCUGCUGUGCCCGAAAAAGCUCCCUGUGGGCAUCUGUACUUCCAAGAUCUCUGUUGUUGCAUGUGUGCAUAUCCAGGAGCACCCCAAAAUUCUGCACGCCAGUACUGCAGUCACAACCCACACACUCACACCAGUCUAAGCAGACCAUAAAAACCCAUAAGUUAACCAGAUAAAGAGCUUGUCUUUGUGAAGGUGCAAACUUACUGUUUUUAAUUUAUAAAAAAGACCUCUUCCUUAGAUGUACAGGGAGGAUAAAAGCAAAAGCCUUUUAUUUUAUGAAGAUUGAAAAGAAGAAAGCACAGCCAUUUUGCACAAAAGCUAAAAAUUAUUAACAAAGGAAAAUAGACUACCUUUGCAGGAGAUACACUUCACUUAAUACUAAAUGGCAUAUCAUGAAAUCAAUUAAAAUACUUCCAGCAUGUCAUGAAUUAUUCAUCAGUUGGUUAUUUUCAUAGUUCUUAGAGCUUAGUAGUGACUCAAGGUUUGCUGCUAGAUGUAGACAAAAUACCCAGUUGCUUAUGGCAACAAACUGGAAGAAAGGAAGAGAGAAAGGCAAAUAAAUGACUUCAGGUGUAGCUCUGCCUUGCUGCUCCCACUGCUGUCAGGCACCAGAGAACACAGCAGUUUCCUGGGGACCCACCACACCACCAUAAAUCUCAGCUUUCUGCAUCUUUCUCCAUUAUACCUUCCAGGUUCUGUCUCUCCCCAGUUUUCCGUGACAGAAGCAGUCAUGGGUCUUUCAUGGCUACACAAAAUUAACCAGUGUUUACAAUUCAGAGAUGCUUUGAGCCACCUCAAAUGCAUAUAUGAGCAUAGGUUCAGAUGCACAAAUAGACUUUGCCAUUGCUGUGUUUGACUUUUUCUUAGCUGACUGCCAGAGGAAACUCUGAGACUUAAACUGAAAUCCUAAAAGUACUCAAAUACUUUGGGCACCUUGGUGGCCAGUGUGAGUUCACAAGAACCCCCAGGUUACUGAGGGAGGAGCCAUCUAAGCUUGGCAGUAAGAAAUACUGGGGAUUGGGAAGCCUAAAUUCCCAGGACUGUACAGGGACUGGAUGAACCAUUGGGUGAGACUGUGCAGUACGUGGCCAGGAUUGUACCAUGCUUCUCCUUGCUCCUCUGUGACUGAAUAAAGUCAGCCAGGCACAGAUACUGUUUCCCUCAAGCAGCCAGGCAUAACCCAGACUUGUUUACCUGCCUAGCAACACAUAUUAAUUACAUCCCAGUGAGCUGGUGAUAUAUAAUCCAGCACUCAGGCUAUUGGCAUCAUCUGGUUAGUCUAUGAGUUCUGAAUAUUAAGCACUGCAGAAGAAAAGUAUCUAAAAUUUUCAUGCAGUCAUAGGACUGCUCCUACCUUUACACACCACAGUGAAAUAUUCAUGGCAUUUAUAAUUUAAAAUGGACUUGGAUUUCAAGUAACAACUCAGUGUAAACAUUUUUAAUCUUGUAACUUGAAAGCAAAAUGGGUCCAAUUUGAAAAUUAGCUAAUAUUUUAGUGUUUCCCCUAUUUUUAUAAUUAGCAUUAAAAAAGUUAUUGAGCAAACAAAUAUAUUUAGACUUUAUUCAAGUGUCUACUAGUACUACCUCACAUUGGUUUUUUUCUAAUUGGCUGCUCUUUAUGGUGAAAACUUAAAAUAUUAUGUUCCUCAAUUCUGAAUGAGAGGCAAUGAUAAAAUAAAAAGAUUGAGAAUAAACAGAACAAAUGCACCGAAACACUUCUGCAUAGUUGUUACAGUUAACAACAGCAGAAGUAGAAAUGGUUGGGGAAGGAAAUGAGUUUGUUAUCCUUCAUGUUACACAUCUGUAUCCAUGUGAGAUCACACCUCUGGUCUUUAUGGUUUGUCUCACCCAAUCUACCUCUUUUUAACCCUCCCUGCAUACCUUGCUUGGGGAGCUGCAGCCUUGCCUGUUCCCACAGCUCACUUGCUGAUGGCCUGUAUUGGCUGAAGUGGACAAACUGUGGGCAAGCACUCUCAAAGUAUCCCAUUCUUUCUGUGGCAUUCUCAUUCAACCUUUAUUUUAUUCCAUUUUCAAAUACAGCUCAUAUCCUAACCUCUUCUAUUUUACAGCUUAUCUUUGCACAGAAUCAUCUACUUCUCCAUGCUGGUGCCUACACUGGCAAGGGCCGUGGGCUAUACAGCACUGAAAAGAGUUAGGCAUUUACACACAUAGUGAAAACAUAUCAGAGCAUUGAAAAAAUGUGUAUGAUAAACACAAACCUUUGUGCUUAAAGGUGUAAGUGAUAAGGAUAUAAAGACUUUCAUCUUGGUAUUAUUGCUAGUAGAGAUUUCAGUUUAACAAAGCAUCUGUUUUUGAUGAUUGUUGGAAGCAGGAUACAAGACUUGCAUCAAAUACAGGUUCAAACUGGUUCCAGCGCUGCUCAGUUCCUCAGCUCCUAGGGUCAUUAGCCCCAAAAGGUAAAAUGUAUUUAAUAAUCAGUGCCAGCAAUUAAAUAAUUAUUACAAAUAUAUAUACAUAUUUUGCAUUUUAUGUCCAUUUUUAUUCUGAGACCCUUCUCAAACUAUGUAUGUGAAUGAGAAUUAGUGGUGACAGAUUUUUUGAUAAAGAGUGUUGACACAGGUACUGCAGGAGCUCUAACUGAUACUCAGCAAUUACUUCUGCCCAUCCAAUCUCUAAAUCAAUCCAAUUUACUCCCCUCAGCUCUGCAAUCAGUUCUCCUACUAGCCUUUUACACUUCCUCCUAUCAAUGUGCCUGCUGUUUCCUUCUCUUUGCAGGGAGGCUGCAGAUACAGCCAAGCAGCUUUAUUUCCUUCAUUCUGGAAGAAGGGAGCAAUAGAUACAUGAAUUAUUCUUUAUCUCUUGACCAUUUCAGUAGUUUUUCCAAACUUAAAGUUUAUUUAGAGUUUUCUUUUUGUCUGUUUCAGAUAGUCCUUUACUUACAAAGAAAAAAGAAUUCUUUCCUGUGACAGAUGUACCUUCUGGGUGGUUAGAAACAGAUUAACAGCAUGGUUCAGGAUGCACACCUUUGGCAUGGAGAACUACACUGAACUAAGAAGUGUCUCAUAGACAUAGUGUCUUCUCUAUGAAGAUAAUGGAAAAUCAGACUCUAUUAUAAUGCUUCAAUUUCUAUGCAGAGUUUUUUUACAUUUUACUGGAGGAUUUGACCCUUCAGAAUUUUACAACUUUGCAAAAAAGAAAAGACUGUUAAGUGUGCAACAACUGUAGAGUAACUUACUUGAAAUACAGAUACUAGACAAGCUUUAAUCACAAAAUUUAUACAUCAGGUCUAGGCUAGAAGGCAAGUGUGAAUAAAUCCUGUGGAAGUUGGAGGUACAGCAGAAACUCAGCAUCAAGCAGGGUUUUGACCCUGCAAUGUCAGACCACAAAGACAAUUAAGUUAAUUAAUACAAGACUUUAUGGACUGUCAUGCUGGUUCUUCCAGUCACUCUGGGCAAGCGACCUUCACUUCACCAUUGCUUGAUGUUGAAAUGCUGAAACCAGUAUUUAAGCCAGCUUUUAUAUUAAGGGCACUUAUAUACCUACAUGUGAAUGUGCAUCCAUGCACGUGUGCGUGUACACACACACAUACACACACACACACACUUGUGUCAGUAUACCUUCAAGGAUUUCAAGGAAUGAAAGACCAAUCCAGCUGUCGAGACAAAUACAUUUCUCAUGGCUAUCAUGUUUUGCUCAUCUUAUUUUUAUUGUGUUACUUAAUGCAGGAUUGCAAGGUGUUAAAUACAAGUUAGAGCAAAUGGCAUAGACAGAAAAAAGCUUGCCCUUGCCAACACCUACCUAAAAGUAGCUUUACUGAAAAGUCUAAACUUAGGGUGUCACACUGUAUGUUCCAUUGAUGUGUGGCCUCACAGCAUGGCACAAAACUGAAAGUGGAAUUAGGGAGUUUGGUUUAUUGAAGAGGCAUUCCUUGAAGAGAGAAGAGAGAGAAGCCAAGGCCUAUAGCUUCUCUCAUGUCCUAGCUCUUUUAAUUUCUUACAACCACUAAAUCAGCAAAACCCUUUAAAAAACAGUAUUUGUAACAGGACCAGUUUAAAUAAGUUCUUUCAGUUUUGAUGCCCAACGUCUCUUGCAGCAGGACCAGCCAUUCCUUUGAAAGAGGGAUUUCUCAUCUAACGGCAUUAUUUUAAUCACCAUUUCCUCCCUUUAUAAUACAAGACUGUCAGGAGCAUUCCUCACUUGGGUUUAUUGAGGAGGCUGUCUUUCUAGUCAUGUGAACACGAAGUCCUUCUCUACAGAAUUACAAAAAUAACCUGUAAACAAGUAUUUCAUUUGUACCUCCCUGUUGUCAUCACAUUUUCCUUCCCCGUGGCAGUAAGGCAGAAUAGCUAUUUAAUGAUCAAACAAACUGGCACUGUUCAUUACUAGAAGAAAAGCACAUCAAUAAAACAAGAAAUACUUCAGUUAAGUGUUAAUAGACCGGGUGCCACAGUUUGCAAAGUAAUUAUCUGUGGAUACCAGAGGAUUACAUCUGAAAAGGACUAGAUACCCUUUCUGUUAUUACUGACAAAUAGAAGACAGUACCUGGUCUGAAUUUAACAGUUGGAAUUACAUGAGUAAAUCUGAUUAAAAAUGCUCCUCUAUUCUGAAAAUUGCACUUGACAGCUGCCUAUUUAUUCACCUGAAGUUCCAAUUCCAACUGUUUUGGAAUGGAAAUGAAAAUAGUAGAUAUGAUGAAAAUUCAGUAUAGGUAUGGAUCUAUCAUGGCAUAUGAUAUAGCAUAAUAUUAUAUAUAUUAUAAAUCAUGUGUGAGCAUGUAUAUAUAUAUACACACACACACACACAAUAAUGGUAAGGUUAGCAUUAUGAAUAAGGUUAGUGUUGAACGUGACAGUUUAUCUGUCUGUAAGCAGAGGAACAGGGAAAGAAUAAUUGAGUUGCUUCUAUUUUUCUCAACUUUGGAAACAGUAGCUAAAUUUUUAUUUAUUUUAAUCUAAACCCAAGGUGCUCUUCACAAGGCAGAAUACAGAGCCAUCAGUGAUGAUGCAUUUUGAUUUGAAUGGAGAUGUCAUAAGCUGAAUACUCCCCCAGCAAACAGGCUGGGCAAGGUCUCUCAGCUGACAGGGAUCUCUGCACUUGGACCGACAGCAGGCUCAGGAAACAACUGAUGAUCCUGUGCCAGCUGCCUGCUGGCGUUACUGAGUUGUUAACUGUGCUUAUAUUGAAAUGAUAAACUGCUUCACACACAGCACGUGUGGAGAAGCAGUUCACCGCCAGGUGGCAGAUACCACAACUUGAAUUUCAAAUGCUAAAGAGACCAAAGGGCAGCACUGAUUCAGAAAACCCCUAACUGAUGCACAUGCAUUUUAGAAAGGUAAACAGACACUCUUCUCCUUUUACCAAGUCCAAGGAUGCACUGCAUGGACCCUACCAUGCUCCAAGUUACAGACUAUUGAUAGCUGAUUACUGUGCUAUAAUAAAUUUUAAUUCCCAGACGAAUGCUUGUUAAGAAAAAAAAAGCCUUUUUGGUUCACUACCUUCCUAGAGUAAGAGCAAGUAUCUCAUCCAACACUUGCUCAUUUAUACCUGUACUGCUCUAUAGGCUAAACUUUACAUACAACAUUGGAUUUCUUACCAAUUUCAAACAUAUUGGUUCAGAAUAGUGAGAUAAAAUUGGUCCCUGAGAGCAUUCAUGGAUAGAACGAAGGGCAGAAAAUGAAAAUAUUAAGAUUUUUCAAGAGUGCUUAAUUCACUCUACUAAAGCUACUCAGUCCUCCCUGUAACAAAAGCCAUAUUAACAAUUUCCAAAUGCUGGGCCUUCCUUUGUAAUCUGUUCAUCUCAGAUCAGUACCACAAGUUAGUAUAAUUUGUCUAACAUGUUAGAUUGCAAAUGCUCUGAGGCAGUAACCAGUUUUUGUCCCUGUAUUUGCAGAAGGUUUAGCAUGCUGGUACCCUGACAAAGGACUUAAUCGAAUAAUAAUAGGUCAUUAUCACAGCAAGUCAAGGUGCUUUACAGAUAGUUUAAUAAGGUUUGAGAAGCAAGUGUUUGAGCAGGAACAAAGUGGGAGCUGGGGGACAACCAUGAAGUGAAUGGACACUUAGUGAGUGUAUUAACUCCCAACAGUGCUAACAUUUCAGAGAAUCUGUAAUAUAAAUGAACCUCAAUUUGAAGAUUUGUUUCUAGUAUUUUUUUAAGCCAAAACUUGCAUUUUUUCCCCUCCUAGUAUCUGCCAUCAUAAAACAAUUGCUUUUCUAGGUUUUCUUCUACAUGGACUUGGAGCUGCUGAUGCCAAGACUUGAGUUAUACUUUGUUCUCUGUGUUUUAUGAGCUUUAUUGGUACUCACUUCACUGUGCAACUGCAAAUAUACAAGCAAGAAAAUUUCUUUGCAUUUUACUGAUGUAUAUUUCUCAGUAAGUUUUUGAAAAUUAAAACAUGGGAUUUAUCACUGGACUUUCAGAUUAGGCACGGCAUACUCUAAUCUUAACCUGUUACCUGAUCUGUGACAACUCUGUUCCAGUUUUAUUUAGCAGAUUGCCCAGGUGUGGAUGUAGAGAAAUACAUUUAAUAAACCAUAUAUUUUGCAAAAUUAAACUAUCACACAAAUUUAAAAAAUGCUAUUUUAAAGAAGAUUUGAAACAUACCCACAUUGUGUUUGUUCAAGUGUAUUUGCUGUAUAAAGACCACAAAUCAUCAAAUGAAGUGUUUUGAACACAAAACCAACACAAUUAAAGAAACAAACCACUGUAAUUUAAUAGCAACAAUCUCACUUUACAAGAUAGCAACGAUGGAAAUUUUGCAAAGGAAUGUGAAAAAAAGAAUAGAAUUAAAAAUGACAGAUUUAAGACAACAGAAAACUUGAAAUUAAAUAGCACAAUAAUUCUAGUAUGCGUAAAUUUUAUUCAGAAUGUUUACUUAUGCAGCAUUCUGAUUAGUAAGUGACACUGUAUUACCAGCACUUACUAACAUCUGAUAAAUACUAUGCCCUUAAAGUAGUGCUUUUCUGUUCAGUGACCUUGCACAAA